rnacentral:tRNA from 1 species
GAAAAUCCGUCGAUUUUGAAAAUCGUGAGGGUUCAAGUCCCUCUAUCCCCA